UCUGACACUUCUUUUUCCAAAAAGCUCAACUAUUUUUAUCUGGUUCGGCAUUAGGGUUUCCAAUGACUUAGGGUUCGUAAAAGGUUAUAUAGACAGCUUGCACUUUUGUGCAGUGUUGGGGUUUCUGUAUCAUUCUUUCUUUGCCCUGGACGUGUUUUAAUGGUAUUUUAUUGUUUCAGUUUAAGCAAUGGUGAAAUUAUCAGGUGCAAAUGUGUAUCACAAAGUAAGGUGGAAAAGUCUGCUCACGAAUUUUAGGAUCAGAAUGGACGAAAUUGGAAAGAUAGGUAAGUAAAAAUAUAUAAUAUAAUUAAAGAAAAAAUAUGCUGAAGAUCUGAUUCAUGCAAUUAAAUUUUAUAUUGAAAAUUAUAUUGUUCUGGGAAGUUUCAAAUCUAUAACAGAUUUCUAGAUCUAGCUGUCUGCUCAUCCGUCAUCAUCUCUCUUUACUUGCUAUCUCAUCCUAAUAAGAAUUGCAGAGAGUUAAAUCCAGAAAUUUGUUAUAAAUUGUUAACAUGAACUGUGGAAACUUCAUUGUGUUAAAAGUUUUAAAUUUCUGUAAUUUUUAAAAAAGAUUUGCAAUUAGCAUGAAAAUUAAAGGUAAUAUUGAAUGGAAGAAGAAAUAACAGGUUUCAGGGUUAGCCCAAAUUCAUUUGGGAUAAGUUGAGGGUGAGGAGAGAUUGAGAAGAGGGAUGGCAAGUUAUGUCCUCCAGUUGCGGACGGCGAGAAGGGGAAACCAGUUGGACAGCAAAGUAUAUUGCUAUUGGAAAUGGCAGCUUUCAAUCCAGAUCAGCUGACGGCAGAGGAGGUGAGCUGAGCAACAGAGUGCUGUUGGAAACGAGACUGAGAAAAAAAAGUGUUGCUGCUGUAAAUGAGAGUGAGAAGAGGGAUAGCAGGUAAUACCAGUCCAAUUGCAGAGUGGACAUAAUAGUGAGAAGAGGAAUCGCAGUUAAUUCCUGUACAGGAGAGUGAGAAGAGGGAUAGCUGGCAACGCAGGUCUACUUGCAGAAGACUAUGGGAGUCCAGUCCGGCAGUAUGGGAGUCCAAUCGGGCAGUAAGUGUUUCUAUGUUGGAAGUGGCAGCUUUGAAUUCAGUUGAGGAAAUUCUUCACAGGACAACAAAUUGUUGUUCUUGGAAAUGGCAGUGUUAGUUGUUGGAAAGUUUUGAAUCCAUCGGGCAGCAAAGUGUUGUUGGAAAUGAGUGUCUUGUUGUUUAGACGUUUAGAAUCUGUGGGCAGCAAAACAUUGUCGUGUGGACAGUAAGGAGUCCAAGCAUUCUUGUGGAAAUGACAGUAAACGACAGUUUACUCUACGUAGAGUGUUGUUGGAAAUGACAGUUUGCUCCAUGUAAAAUCUUGGCGUUGGCAAUGACAAUUGAAUACAACCAAGCAUUAAAGUGUUAUUUUUAGAAACGGUUGGAGGGCAAUCCGGUAUUGCAACAAAAUGUUGUUAUUGGAAAUUACAGCUUUGCAUCCAGUUGGACAGCAAUGUGUUGCCGAGGGAAAUUCAAUUGGAUAUCAAAGUGUGUUGUUGAGGGGAAUUCAAUUGAACGGAGAAGUAUUGUUAUUGGAAAUGACAAGCUUUCAGUCCAGCCUUCCUGUUGUUGGGAAUGACAGCUUUGAACCCUGUGGGAUGGCAAAGUGUUGUUGAGUGAAUCCAGUGGGACAGUAAACUGUUGUUGAGGGAAAUACAAUGGGAAAACAGAGUGCUGGCAGCAAAGUUUUGUCAUUGAUGGAAAUCACAUCUUGGUAUCUAGCCAGGUAGCAAAGUGUUAUUGUUGAGGGAAUCCAAUGGGACAGCAAAGUGCCGUCGUUGUUGGAAAUUACAGCUUUGAAUCUAGUCAGGUAGCAACAUGUUAUUGUUUAGGGAAUUUUGUGCGACUGCUAAAUGUCAUUGUUGUUGGAAAUGACAUGAAUCCAGUUUGGUAGCAACAGCAAAGUGUAGUCAUUGUAAAUGAUAGCUUUGAAUCAAGUCAAGCAGCAAAGUCUUGAUGUUGAGGGGAAGGUAGUAAAGUGUUAUUGUUAGAAAUGACAUGCAGUCCUUUUUUUGGUUUUUUGGGAAUAGCAGGUUUGAAUCUAAUCAGUCAACAACGAUGGAAAGCAAGAAAGAGAACAGAAGAGGAGACAUGGUAGACUACUAUUUCAGUGGUAACAGAGAAAGCAUUUGAUUAGAAUAGAAUGGGCAUGGUGGGAUAUAUAAACUAGGGGAAUCAUUGCCUAAUAAAUUCCUUUUUUUUAAUAACUUUUUUGGGUUCAACUGCAUCAAAUAAGUGGGAGACGUUAGGGCUCUCUAUUUAUCCUUCACUAAACUUUCAAAUUUCUGUAAAGGUAAAGAAGUUGAGAGAGUUUUAAAUUUUUGUAAUUCUAAAUCUAAAUAUUAGAUGGAGGAAUAAACAACUUUCAGCUGAAGAAUUCACUCACAUGAGAAGACCUGCUUGUAUGUCAAAGAGAGCUAAAUUUCUGUAAUUCUAAAUCUAAAAUUGGAAGGAGCAAUAACACUUUCUGAAGAAUUUACUCGUCUCUUCAGCGGAGUGACAUAAGGAGACUUGCUUGUAUAUCAAAUUUCUUCUCUCCUCUUUGAACGUUGGAAGAUUUAAAAUUAGUAAAGCAGAGCUGGAGAUUUUUUCUCAAA